rnacentral:rRNA from 1 species
UACGAAGGGGGCUAGCGUUGCUCGGAAUUACUGGGCGUAAAGCGCGCGUAGGCGGAACGUUAAGUCCGGUCUGAAAGCCCCCGGCUCAACCGGGGAGGGUGGCUGGAAACUGGCGUUCUUGAGGGCGAGAGAGGAGGGUGGAAUUCCUGGUGUAGCGGUGAAAUGCGUAGAGAUCAGGAGGAACACCCGUGGCGAAGGCGGCCCUCUGGCUCGACCCUGACGCUGAGGCGCGAAAGCCAGGGGAGCGAACGGG